rnacentral:rRNA from 1 species
GACGAACGCUGGCGGCGCGCUUAACACAUGCAAGUCGAACGGAAAGGCCUGCUUUCCCUUGUGGAUUGCGGGUACUCGAGUGGCGAACGGGUGAGUAACACGUGAGUGAUCUGCCCCCAACUUGGGUAUAAGCCUGGGAAACUGGGUCUAAUUCCCGAUAGGACUGCAGGGUGGUGCCUGUGGUGGAAAACGAUUUUCUAGUGGUUGGGGAUGAGCUCGCGGCCUAUCAGCUUGUUGGUGGGGUAAUGGCCUACCAAGGCGGCGACGGGUAGCCGGCCUGGGAGGGUGGACGGCCACAUUGGGACUGAGAUACGGCCCAGACGCCUACGGGAGGCAGCAGUGGGGAAUAUUGCACAAUGGGCGGAAGCCUGAUGCAGCGACGCCGCGUGGGGGAUGACGGCCUGCGGGUUGUAAACUCCUUUCGACCGCGAGGAAGCCACCUGGUUGGAAGGGUGGUGACGGUAGUGGUAGAAGAAGCACCGGCUAACUACGUG